UACGAAGGGGGGCUAGCGUUAUCCGGAUUCACUGGGUUUAAAGGGUGCGUAGGCGGGCAGGUAAGUCCGUGGUGAAAUCUCUGAGCUUAACUCAGAAACUGCCAUGGAUACUAUUUGUCUUGAAUAUUGUGGAGGUAAGCGGAAUAUGUCAUGUAGCGGUGAAAUGCUUAGAUAUGACAUAGAACACCAAUUGCGAAGGCAGCUUACUACACAGUUAUUGACGCUGAGGCACGAAAGCGUGGGGAUCAAACAGGA
rnacentral:rRNA from 1 species